rnacentral:rRNA from 1 species
GAUGAACGCUAGCGGCAGGCUUAAUACAUGCAAGUCGAGGGGCAGCACGAAUAGCAAUAUUUGGUGGCGACCGGCGCACGGGUGCGUAACACGUAUACAACCUACCUAUAACAGGGGGAUAGCCUUUCGAAAGAGAGAUUAAUACCCCGUAAUAAAUUGAGUGGCAUCACUUGAUUUUGAAAGCUACGGCGGUUAUAGAUGGGUAUGCGUCUGAUUAGCUAGUUGGUGAGGUAACGGCUCACCAAGGCGACGAUCAGUAGGGGAUCUGAGAGGACUAACCCCCACACUGGUACUGAGACACGGACCAGACUCCUACGGGAGGCAGCAGUAAGGAUAUUGGUCAAUGGAGGCAACUCUGAACCAGCCAUGCCGCGUGCGGGAUGACGGCCCUAUGGGUUGUAAACUGCUUUUGUACCAGAGAAAACCUACUCACGUGUGAGUAGCUGAUAGUAUGGUAAGAAUAAGCAUCGGCUAACUUCGUGCCAGCA